rnacentral:rRNA from 1 species
GACGAACCGUCCUAACGUUGUUCGGAAUCACUGGGCUUAAAGGGCGCGUAGGCGGCUUGCCAAGUCAGGGGUGAAAUCCUGCAGCUUAACUGUAGAAGGGCCUUUGAUACUGGCGAGCUCGAGGGAGGUAGGGGUAUGUGGAACUUCCGGUGGAGCGGUGAAAUGCGCAGAUAUCAGGAGGAACACCGGUGGCGAAGGCGGGUCUCUGGGCCGAUACUGACGCUGAGGAGCGAAAGCGUGGGGAGCGAACAGG